rnacentral:pre_miRNA from 1 species
CGCUCAGUAGUCAGUGUAGAUCCUGUCCCUUUCAAUCAGCAGCUACAUCUGGCUACUGGGUCUC